UACGUAGGGUGCAAGCGUUGUCCGGAAUUACUGGGCGUAAAGGGCGCGUAGGCGGCCAUCUAAGUCAGACGUGAAAUCCCCCGGCUUAACCUGGGAACUGCGUCUGAUACUGGACGGCUAGAGUUUGGGAGAGGGAUGUGGAAUUCCAGGUGUAGCGGUGAAAUGCGUAGAUAUCUGGAGGAACAUCGGUGGCGAAGGCGGCAUCCUGGACCGGUAUUGACGCUGAGGCGCGAAAGCCAGGGGAGCAAACGGG
rnacentral:rRNA from 1 species